GGCAGUCUGAGGGCAUGGGGCCGGAGGAAGACGUAGUGUGGAGGCGUUAAGCUGAGUUAAGGUGCGUAAGGGGUGCGCGGGGUGUUAUGUAAGGCGUGGGUGAAGUCCCCGGGCGUAACCGGGGAAUGGCUGUUGUGGCUGCAUCGCUGGAGUGGGGCAGAGGGGGAUGGAAGUCCGCGUGUAGCAGUGAAAUGCGUAGAUAUGCGGAGGAACACCGAUGGCGAAGGCAAUCCCCUGGGCCUGCACUGACGCUCAUGCACGAAAGCGUGGGGAGCAAACAGGAUUAGAUACCGGGUAGUC
rnacentral:rRNA from 1 species